CAGCAGUCGCCGCGGGAAUACGAAGGGGGCUAGCGUUGUUCGGGAUUACUGGGCGUAAAGCGCACGUAGGCGGAUAUUUAAGUCAGGGGUGAAAUCCCAGAGCUCAACUCUGGAACUGCCUUUGAUACUGGGUAUCUUGAGUAUGGAAGAGGUGAGUGGAAUUCCGAGUGUAGAGGUGAAAUUCGUAGAUAUUCGGAGGAACACCAGUGGCGAAGGCGGCUCACUGGUCCAUUACUGACGCUGAGGUGCGAAAGCGUGGGGAGCAAACAGGAUUAGAUACCCGCGUAGUCCCUGUCUCUUAUAC
rnacentral:rRNA from 1 species